GAUGAACGCUGGCGGCGUGCCUAAUACAUGCAAGUCGAGCGAAUGGAUUAAGAGCUUGCUCUUAUGAAGUUAGCGGCGGACGGGUGAGUAACACGUGGGUAACCUGCCCAUAAGACUGGGAUAACUCCGGGAAACCGGGGCUAAUACCGGAUAACAUUUUGAACCGCAUGGUUCGAAAUUGAAAGGCGGCUUCGGCUGUCACUUAUGGAUGGACCCGCGUCGCGUUAGCUAGUUGGUGAGGUAACGGCUCACCAAGGCAACGAUGCGUAGCCGACCUUGGAGGGUGAUCGGCCACACUGGGACUGAGACACGGCCCAGACUCCUACGGGAGGCAGCAGUAGGGAAUCUUCCGCAAUGGACGAAAGUCUGACGGAGCAACGCCGCGUGAGUGAUGAAGGCUUUCGGGUCGUAAAACUCUGUUGUUAGGGAAGAACAAGUGCUAGUUGAAUAAGCUGGCACCUUGACGGUACCUAACCAGAAAGCCACGGCUAACUACGUGCCAGCAGCCGCCGCCG
rnacentral:rRNA from 1 species